AGGGAUAUAGUUCAAUUGUUAGAGUGCUUGUCUCAUAUGUAUAAGGCUCUGGGUUCAAUCCCCAGCACCACUA
rnacentral:tRNA from 1 species